UACAGUCACACUUGUCUUGACUUGAUACACACUACACACGAAUUUUAAUACACAACGGAUAACUCAGGGAAAGUUUGGCUAAUACGUACGAGUUAUUAUAAAACACACACACAAACGAUUUAAUUUUCUCAGCAUUCAAUGGAAGUUUUUUUUCAAAAACACACACAUGAAAGACAUUGAAUACGCAAUAUAUAUUCUCACGAAUGUAUAUACGCUGAGCAGACUUUAUUUUUAUACUUUAUUGUAUAUUUAAAGCAUGUCAUACAAGCAUCUAAAGCAUCAAGUCACACCGUUGGCAAGUGUAUUUUUGAACCUUCAAAGCAGUCACGCAUACGGAAGAGUAGUUUCUGAUCCCAUAGAAGGAGCACAGUACAAUGAGAGACCGCUCUUAGUUCUAAGGAACGCAGCAGGCGCGUAAAUUGCCCAAUGAUAGAACAUUUUUUAAUUUAUUUAAACAACACACGAACGACACACACACACAAAAAAAACAUAUCCUUGUUUACUAUAUAUCUCUUUACUGAGGCAGUGACAAGCUGUAAAGGUUGAGUAUUUUAUUAAUGACAAGUGCUUAGCAUUGCCGCCUGGUUCGCUAGGCUUGGCAUUUUUGCUAGCGCUUUGUAUGCUCAAUUUGAAUGCGGUGAGUUUAAGCAACUCAGAACCUUUGUAACGUGAUUUACUUUGUUGUAUUUCAUGUUCAUGUAUCUGAAUUUUUCAAGUGGAGGGCAAGUCUGGUGCCAGCAGCCGCGGUAAUACCAGCUCCACUGGCCUAUACAAUCAUUGUUGCGGUUAGGAGGCUCGUAGUUGGAUUGAACAACAUAACAUAUAUAUAUAUAUAUUUAUUAUACUACACACACACACACAAAACAAAAAAAAAAUAAUAAUAUACUGUAUAUWUUUUUUCAACACUGUGAACAAAUCAGAGUGUAUCAAACAUGUAUUUUUUUAAAAUGCGCAUUGAAUGUCUUAUCAUGGAAUGUUGCCUUUACAAUAAUUUACAUAUAUACACAAAACACACACACAACACAGAUGUCGAUGGGGAUAGUUGGAGUCAACAGUACUGCAGGGCGAGCGGUGAGAUGCAUUGACCCUUGMAAGACUACCAGAAGCGAAUCAUUUGCAUUUAUUUUUUUUAUGCAAACUCUCUCUCAACCCGCAAAAAAAUUUUAUUUAUUUAUAUAGCUUGAGCUCUUUGUGGCUCGCUAUGUAUUGAUAAUAUAUUUAUGCACGGUCUUAUGACUGACGUUUCAUAAUUUGAUAAUAUUUUUUUAUUGUCACACAUGCAUGUAAGCAAAACAUUUUUUUACUAAAAUGUUAACCUACAUAUGAUUUUCGAUACUUUGCGCUCAAAUAAUUUACUGGUGAGAUGUAAGCGUUAUACCGUAAUUAUUUUAUUUACACGUAUUUAACUUCGGUUAUUUUAUCGUUGUAAUAUUAAUUUUUACAUUUAUAUAAAUAAUAUAUAAUGUGAUGCACGCGUUAGGUACAAGCUUACUGCAGAAAUGUCUAAGACAUUCCCCUCCGGGGGUAGUAUGCACGCAAGUGUGAAACUUGAAGGAAUUGACGGAAGGGCACCACAAGAACGCGUGGAGCAUGUGGCUUAAUUUGACUCAACGCGGGAAAUCUUACCGGGUCCGGACACACUGAGGAUUGACAGAUAUAUGCAUAUAUAUUGCUUUCGGGCAGUAUAUGUGUGAAAGAUGCUAGUUCUUUCAUGAUUAUGUGAUAGGUGGUGCAUGGCCGUUCUUAGUUCGUGGAGUGAUCUGUCUGCUUAAUUGCGUUUCACUUUUAUAGAGAUAUUUAAAACGUAUAUAUUUAUAUUUAUUUAUUUGUUUUAUGCAUAAAUUAUCUCUCAGUUGAAAGCAACGAACGUGACCGUUGUCUUUUGUUGUCUAUAUCCCUUUAUAAAUAGACUUUUUUUUAAUAAACAAAACUAAAGAGACCGCUGUAUUUUCUUUUAAACCAGAGGAAGGUAACGGCAAUAACAGGUCUGUGAUGCCCUUAGAUGUUCCGGGCUGCACACGUGCUACAAUAAUUAUUGCAGUGAGCAUCUCAUAUUUUUUUACACUGUUUUAAAUUCUAACAGCGUUAUACUCUUUCGGGGGUAUGCUGUUCUGUCUUGAAUUUACAGUAAAGCCUACAUCGAGAGUUUUCUUUUACGUGGGUAAUCAAUUAGAAGUAAUGAAUUUCCUAUUUUUGUAUAUUUUAUGCAGUAUUUUAUAUCCACUUGUAUUUUCAUACAAGACUGCGUAUAUAUUAUAUUUUUUGCACAUACAAUUGUCAAUUUAUAGUGGGGACAGACCAUUGUUAAUUGUUGGUCUCGGUCUUAACUAGGAAUGCCUUGUACGGGUCUUUGGUUCAACAAACCACCCGGAAUACGUCCCUGCCCUUUGUACACACCGCCCGUCGCUCUUACCGAUGAACUUCUCUGUGAGUUUCAGGGACCGUCCUCUUUAUAGGAAACUUAAACGAACAGUGUGGUUUAAAGGAAAGAGAAGUCGAACAAGGCA
rnacentral:rRNA from 1 species